AAUAACGCUGAUCUUUCAUCAAUAUGAAUUGGUAUGAUGGAAGUGCACUGUCAUAGUACCAUGGAAAUCUAGGUUGAAAAAUGCAUUAUAACCAUUACAAUUAACAUUCCACGCACCCUAGUUGCUUCUGAACAGGCUUAGAGGGGCAAUGUGCUUACCAUAACAUCAGAUAACUGAGGACACAGAAAAUCUAAUGUCAUAGCUUUUAGUAAAU